rnacentral:rRNA from 1 species
UACGAAGGGGGCUAGCGUUGCUCGGAAUUACUGGGCGUAAAGCGCACGUAGGCGGGUUCUUAAGUCGGUGGUGAAAUCCUGGAGCUCAACUCCAGAACUGCCUUCGAAACUGGGAAUCUUGAGUCCGGGAGAGGUGAGUGGAACUGCGAGUGUAGAGGUGAAAUUCGUAGAUAUUCGCAAGAACACCAGUGGCGAAGGCGGCUCACUGGCCCGGUACUGACGCUGAGGUGCGAAAGCGUGGGGAGCAAACAGGG